rnacentral:rRNA from 1 species
ACAAGCGGUGGAGCAUGUGGUUAAUUCGAAGCAACGCGAAGAACCUUACCAGGCCUUGACAUGCAGAGAAUUUUCCAGAGAUGGAUUGGUGCCUUCGGGAACUCUGACACAGGUGCUGCAUGGCUGCGUCAGCUCGUGUCGUGAGAUGUUGGGUUAAGUCCCGUAACGAGCGCAACCCUUGUCCUUAGUUACCAGCACGUUAUGGUGGGCACUCUAAGGAGACUGCCGGUGACAAACCGGAGGAAGGUGGGGAUGACGUCAAGUCAUCAUGGCCCUUACGGCCUGGGCUACACACGUGCUACAAUGGUCGGUACAAAGGGUUGCCAAGCCGCGAGGUGGAGCUAAUCCCAUAAAACCGAUCGUAGUCCGGAUCGCAGUCUGCAACUCGACUGCGUGAAGUCGGAAUCGCUAGUAAUCGUGAAUCAGAAUGUCACGGUGAAUACGUUCCCGGGCCUU